GGCGUGCUUAACACAUGCAAGUCGAGUGCGCGGUGCUGUAGCAAUACGGUACUGGCGCACGGCGCACGGGUGCGUAACACGUGGGUAAUCUGCCCUCUGAUGGGGAAUAACCCGCCGAAAGGCGGGCUAAUACCGCAUAACAUUCCUUGGACUCCGGUUUGAGGAUUCAAAGCCGUAAGGCGUCGGAGGUGGAGCCCGCGCACGAUUAGCUAGUUGGUAGGGUAACGGCCUACCAAGGCUAUGAUCGUUAGCUGGUCUGAGAGGAUGGCCAGCCACACUGGAACUGAGACACGGUCCAGACUCCUACGGGAGGCAGCAGUGGGGAAUCUUGCGCAAUGGGCGAAAGCCUGACGCAGCGACGCCGCGUGGGGGAUGAAGCUUCUCGGAGUGUAAACCCCUUUCGAACGGGACGAAUACCUCGCAAGAGGGGUGACGGUACCGGUAUAAGAAGCCCCGGCUAACUACGUGCCAGCAGCCGCGGUAAGACGUA
rnacentral:rRNA from 1 species